rnacentral:rRNA from 1 species
GAUGAACGCUGGCGGCGUGCCUAAUACAUGCAAGUCGAGCGAACAGACGAGGAGCUUGCUCCUCUGACGUUAGCGGCGGGCGGGUGAGUAACACGUGGAUAACCUACCUAUAAGACUGGGAUAACUUCGGGAAACCGGAGCUAAUACCGGAUAAUAUAUUGAACCGCAUGGUUCCAUAGUGAAAGACGGUUUUGCUGUCACUUAUAGAUUGAUCCGCGCCGCAUUAGCUAGUUGGUAAGGUAACGGCUUACCAAGGCAACGAUGCGUAGCCGACCUGAGAGGGUGAUCGGCCACCCUGGAACUGAGACACGGUCCAGACUCCUACGGGAGGCAGCAGUAGGGAAUCUUCCGCAAUGGGCGAAAGCCUGACGGAGCAACGCCGCGUGAGUGAUGAAGGUCUUCGGAUCGUAAAACUCUGUUAUUAGGGAAGAACAAAUGUGUAAGUAACUAUGCACGUCUUGACGGUACCUAAUCAGAAAGCCACGGCUAACUACGUG